rnacentral:rRNA from 1 species
UACGGAGGGUGCAAGCGUUAAUCGGAAUUACUGGGCGUAAAGCGUGCGCAGGCUGUUUUGUAAGUCAGAUGUGAAAUCCCUGAGCUCAACUUAGGAACUGCGUUUGAAACUACAAGACUAGAAUAUGUCAGAGGGGGGUAGAAUUCCACGUGUAGCAGUGAAAUGCGUAGAGAUGUGGAGGAAUACCAAUGGCGAAGGCAGCCCCCUGGGAUAAUAUUGACGCUCAUGCACGAAAGCGUGGGGAGCAAACAGG